AUUGAACGCUAGCGGAAUGCUUUACACAUGCAAGUCGAACGAGUGGCGGACGGGUGAGUAAUAUAUCAGAACGUGCCCAGUAGCGGGGGAUAACUACUCGAAAGAGUGGCUAAUACCGCAUACUAUUGCAGCGGCCGCUAUCGGAUUAGCUAGUUGGUGGGGUAAAGGCUCACCAAGGCAACGAUCCGUAGCUGGUCUGAGAGGACGACCGGCCACACUGGGACUGGGACACGGCCCAGACUCCUACGGGAGGCAGCAGUGGGGAAUUUUGGACAAUGGGGGAAACCCUGAUCCAGCCAUCCCGCGUGUAUGAGAAGGCCUUCGGGUUGUAAAGUACUUUUGGCAGAGAGGCGGUAGCCGAAGAAUAAGUACCGGCUAACUACGUGCCAGCAGCCGCGGUAAUUC
rnacentral:rRNA from 1 species